UACGGGGGGGCAAGCGUUGUUCGGAAUUACUGGGCGUAAAGGGCUUGUAGGUGGCCAACUAAGUCAGACGUGAAAUCCCUCGGCUUAACCGGGGAACUGCGUCUGAUACUGGAUGGCUUGAGUGUGGGAGAGGGAUGCGGAAUUCCAGGUGUAGCGGUGAAAUGCGUAGAUAUCUGGAGGAACACCGGUGGCGAAGGCGGCAUCCUGGACCAUUACUGACACUGAUAAGCGAAAGCCAGGGGAGCAAACGGG
rnacentral:rRNA from 1 species